AACAUAACCAUGGGUCAUAGAAGAAGCAUAAAAGGGACAGUGUUAGAGGGUCCUUACCCCUCACAUUCUUCCUUCAUUUUUGUAUAGUGGCACAAGGAAGAAGACCAUAGAAGCUUUCUCCAAAGGAAUACAAGAUUGACCUUUGGCAAACCGGCAAGUCAUAAAAAGGCAAUAGACUCCAUUAUAUGGGCUAU